rnacentral:lncRNA from 1 species
CCUGGGCCUGGUGGUGAGGAACCCUAUGUAGUCUCUAGGACUUGAGACGUCAGGAUGUCAAUCGUCUCCUUAGCAGGGCCUCUGACAAUCCCAGGACUUGGAAAAACAUCAAAAGGGGACCAGCUGAAUCACAAAUUAUCUUCGGACCCUCCUCCAGUAAGUAACUCUGAAUCUCAUGGAGGACUUUGAUCACACUCCUGACACCGUGUGGAAGGAUGCCUGCCGAUACCAUUAUGCCUGCUUUUCUGGCUGGCACUGUUAUUGAUUCUUGCCAGCAGGAGCUACAGCAGGCUCGGGAUGUUGCUUUAGGAAGCAAAACUUCAUGUGAUGUUUGGUUAUUAAGAACCACUGCUGUGUGGGUCACCUGUGCUGGGCUUGGCUACUUCGUCCCUCUGAAGACAUCACGGGGGAAGAGACACAAAUUCAACACAUAAGUGCCCCUCAAAUGAUCCACUCUACUGUGUGCACUGAAGUGUAUGCCUGAGCCCUUCAUCAUGUCCAUUUACUUGGGACACAGGAUUUGUUUGGUUUAUGGAAACUUCCAGGGGAAGCAGGAGGUUAGGACCGUGCAGCAUAUGAACUCUGGGAGCGCACUGUUCAGUCUGUAGUGGAGGCAUUUGGACACUCGGACUACGGAAGGAGGGACUUACUCUGUCACAUCUCAGCUGUGUGACUUUGAUCAUGUCCUUGGACUAGUCUGGCUUGCGGAAGGUGCUCCUAUUGACCUCAAAGAAGAGAGACAUGGCUUUGUGAUUAGCAAGGUGCUCCGCCCAUGGAAAAAAAAUGCAACAUGCCUUGCAUCAUUUUUGAAUGUGAACUUAGAUGACAGCAAUGUGGAAAUGGGGUGAAAUCACCAGAAAAACAGAUUUGUUGCUGCAAUAACAUUUCUUUCAAGAAAACCUGGUCCCUAGAGGUGGGCCUGGUUGCUGACAUUUGAAUACCUCCACAUUUCCAAGGAACAGAGUUCUUUUUCCCUGCGUGACUAGAAGCUUAAAACAUUACCCUCUAAUGAACACCAGAUGGUAGAUCUGGAAUGCCUGGCCUGCAAGCCUGGCCUGGAUGCCCCUUAGCUUGCUUCACUUAUACAGUACCUGGGCCAACAACUCAGCAGACUGAACAGGAGAGAGAAGCCUAGGGUUUAACCACCCUAUAUCACAAAGUACCUGUGGCUGCCAGGCGAUGCCAAUGACAUUCUCAGCCUGUGAUGUCACAGACAAAUCUUUUAGCAGAAAUGGUUGAUGGGCCACUGAGAAGCCAAUGCUUUGGCCUGCACUGUGUCCAUUCCCUUACUUGUUUCACAUCCUGCUUUCUAGAAAUAUCUAAAGAUGUCAUAUCCCUAUUUUUUACUUUUUCCUGUGGAAAAAAAAAAACCCACCAUGCUUGAAAUGCACCAUUCUGUCAUGCUAUGGUAUAAUUUUAUGUAUCGUGCUUAAG